AUCGCACCCUGUUUCCAUCACGAGACUUGCACUUCACAUAUAUUGUUGUUCAGUGUUUGCGAACGGGAGGCUGUGUAACUGUGCGUUAAGCUGAGCUAGAAGAAAUCUGACAAUAGCGUACUGUAGGUGGAAUAUGUCUGCCGAAAAAAGAGUGAGGAUUCUGGAGGCAGCUUACAAUGGAGCUGUGGAAGAGCUGAAAGAACUGCUGUGUGUGGGGACGGACGUAGGACUGAGGGACGAGCACGAGAUGACCGCCCUGCACUGUGCGGUGGAAGGUGGAAGUGUGGAGGCGGUUAGAAUUCUCCUUGACAGUGGGGCAGAUGUGAAUGCCAGGAACCAGGAGUGGGACACGCCCCUGCACAUCGCUGCGUUCUUCGGUUACGUGGCCAUCGUGCGGCUGCUGCUGUCAGUGUCGGCGGACCCGAGUCCCAGCUGCCAGAAAGGGUGGACGCCACUGCACUGGGCAGCGCAGGAGGGGCACGCCGAGGUGGUGGCCGCACUUUUAGGUACGGGAGCAGACACGGGCAUCAGGGACGUAGAGGGGAGGACGCCGCUGGACCUUGCCAGGCAGUACGGCAGAUGGGAGCUGGUCACUAUUCUCACAUAAGGACGUCAGUUUACUAUGUGUAUGAGUAGCUAUCAAUUGCACUGAUAACUAGAGACUGGAUUAUGGGCAAUGUAAAAGGUCAAAAUAUAUGUACAAAUUGCUUAAAAUAUGCACGAAAAAUGUUGAAACGUAAAAGAUAAAGUAAUAAAAAACAUAGCAGUUACUAUGUGCAAUAUGUCUCAAAGUUGGACCUGUGCAUUUCGAUUGCAAGGAAGAGCACUGGACACAUGAAAAAUUUGGACAUUUAGAAUGGUUGUUUCGUGACCUGUAUACUUUGUGGUAGAGGUUUGGCAGUGUCGUGUUUGAGGUUAGUUUUUAAAAACUGCAAAAACAAGAUGCACAUUGUGUUUCAAUAGCUGCAAAAUGAUUGAUAUGCACAGGUCCAGCUUUAAGAUAUAUUGCACACAGAGGAGCAUGGAUGAGAAAUUUGCAAUAGGUUAUUUUGGAAACUACAUACAAUAAGGAAUUUUUUUGAAGAACAUUAACAUUUAAAUAAUAUUAUUGGACUAAAGAAUCAUUUACAAAUUAUUUAAAUUUUGCUGAUAUUGUAAAGAUCAACAAUCAGGUACAGCUCCAAAGGUUCAAAGCCUGAGCUAUUUUAUUCAAUAACUGAACA